UACAGAGGGUGCGAGCGUUAAUCGGAAUUACUGGGCGUAAAGCGCACGUAGUCGGCUUUGCAAGUCGGUUGUGAAAUCCCCGGGCUCAACCUGGGAACUGCAUCCGAGACUGCAUUGCUAGAGUAUGGGAGAGGGAAGCGGAAUUUCUGGUGUAGCAGUGAAAUGCGUAGAUAUCAGAAGGAACAUCAGUGGCGAAGGCGGCUUCCUGGACCAAUACUGACGAUCAGGUGCGAAAGCGUGGGGGAGCAAACAGG
rnacentral:rRNA from 1 species